UUUUUUUUGUAUCAUAUUUUAAUAUCAUGUAGGUCUCUUUGAGUUGUACAAAUGAGAAUCAAUUUUUUAAAAUCAAAGCUGCUAUUCAAUUCUUCAAUACAAAAAGAAAAAAUCUUAUAAUUUUUUUUAAUACAAGUUUUUUUUCUAAACAAAAAACAAAACAAAACAAAAACUAACAUUUUUUUGAUUCAUUAAAAAACGCCUGCAAAACAAAUUGCACUUUUGGUCGAGUAAAAUAAAAAUGUGGAUCAUGAUUUUGAAUGGAUGUAGCAAUGUAGGAAUACUUUUGACGUUUUUUUUUUUUCAUAAAAUAAUUUUUGGAAGAAAAACUAAACAGUAUGAAUUGGACAUUGCAUAAAAAGCUAAGCUUUAAACAAAAUGCUUGAAAAAAACAACAACAACAAACAAUAAUAUUACAAUGAAAAUCGUUGUAACCUUAAGUCAAUGGUGGACUUGAUAAAAAAAUAUAAUGACAGUAUAAUGCUAAUAAAUUAUGAUGCAAAGUAAAAAUGACUUUAAAUUAUUAUUAUUAUUAUAAAAAAUUGAUUUUUUUAAAAAGCAUUAAAAUAUUUAUAAAUGACAUAGUUUACAAGUAAUAAACCAGCAGUAGUAUGUAGCUAUGCAAAGAUAACCUAGCUUGACUUGGUUUAACUAGGGGUGGAAUAGAGUAGAAGAUCGAGUUAUUUAAAAAAAAAAAACCUGCACAAAAGUUCUGCAACAUCUUUGUGUUCGGUAAAUAUCCCUGUUUGAGAUCAAUUGAAGUAAUGUAUGUCAAUAUUCAAAGAUACACAAAUGCAGUUUUCUUUAUUCUUUUUAAAAAGGACAAAUGGAUAUGGACAAAUAUGUCAGAUGACAGAUCAUGACAUUUAAAUAAAAUAAAAUGGAAUCAAACAUGUAAAAAUCAAUACAUCUUGAUAAAUAGCACAAGGUUCCUGAGUUGAGUUUUUAAACAUGUUAGGAGUUGACAUUUCCCAUGACACAGCUGGCUUUAUAUAUGAGCACAUGUGACAUUUAGAUAGGCAACACAUGAAAGGACUUUGAGCUACACAUCACUGAAACAAUCACACACUUAAGGGUAACAAGAAACGCAGAAAACAAAGACAAAUGCUAUUUAUUUAAAUGGUACAAAAUAUUCUAUUGGCGUUCGUAUUGGGCUUUAACUGAGAACACUUUAUAACAACAAUCUAUGACAACACUUUAUGGCGGCUUAGUACCAAUAAGUUGUCAGAGUACAUGGACAUUUUUUAAACUCUUUCUCAAGACGCCAUCUAGCGAUGAAGU